GGGGAACACCCACCAUCGUGAGGAACAGGAGGGUGAGCAUCUGCGGCGGCAAUCAGAAGACAUGGCGCCUCAACCUACACUGAGGACUUGGAGGAGUCUGACCCUCGCAGAUGCAGAAGAAAUCUGAACCCAUGUGUGGUGCAGCGGGAGACCAGGAAUCGCCCAGACUGAGGACCUACUCUCCUUAGUACCUGGAGCUGAGCCCUUUCCACCCACUGGGAGUCUCGUGCUUAUUCUGGACAGACGAUCCUGGGCUGACUCAUGUAACUCACAAACACUUCCCCCACAUUCUUCCACUCCAGCUCCU